rnacentral:lncRNA from 10 species
CUUUCUAAUCUCCCAUUAUACAUAUAAUACACAUUACACAUAUUAUAUAUACACCCCCAUAUAUAUAUAUGUAUGCGUGUGUGGGGGGGUAUAUCCAAUAUAUAUAAUAAAGGUAGUUCCUAGAUAGGAUUGGUCUGAUACAAUAAUUUGGAGCUGCAGUAGCAGUCCCUGUAAGGCUGUUGUUUCCAGAUACGACUUGAACGUUCUAUGCUUUUUAUUUUUUUUAAAGACAGAAUCUUGCUCUGUUGCCCAGGCUAGAGUGCGGUGACACGAUCACAAGUCACUGCCACCUCGACCUCACCCCAGUUCAAGCGAUCCUUGUGCUUCAGCCUUCGAAGUAGCUGGGAUUACAGGUGCACCACAGGUGCCAUCACGCUGCAAUUUUUGUAUUUUUAGUGGAGAUGGGGUUUUGCCAUGUUGUCCAGGCUGGUCUCGAAACCUGGCCUCAAGUGAUCUGCCCAUCUCAGCCUCCCAAGGUUCUAGGAUUACAGGCAUGAGCCACUGCACCCAGCCCAUUCUAUGCUUUUUUUAAAAAAAUUAAUUCAUUCAAUUAUUCAACAAAUAUUAAUUGUGCCAGGUACUUUUUUUUAUUAUACUUUAAGGUUUAGGGUACAUGUGCACAACGUGCAGGUUUGUUACAUAUGUAUACAUGUGCCAUUUUUGUGUGCUGCACCCAUUAACUCAUCAUUUAACAUUAGGUAUAUCUCCUAAUGCUAUCCCUCCCCCCUCCCCACACCCCACAACAGGACCCAGUGUGUGAUGUUCCCCUUCCUGUGUCCAUGUGUUCUCAUUGUUCAGUUCCCACCU